UUAAAGGAAUUGACGGGGACCCGCACAAGCGGUGGAUGAUGUGGUUUAAUUCGAUGCAACGCGAAAACCUUACCCACCUUUGACAUGGCAGGAAUCCUAAAGAGAUUUUGGAGUGCUCGAAAGAGAACCUGCACACAGGUGCUGCAUGGCUGUCGUCAGCUCGUGUCGUGAGAUGUUGGGUUAAGUCCCGCAACGAGCGCAACCCUUGCCAUUAGUUGCUACGAAAGGGCACUCUAAAUGGGACUGCCGGUGACAAACCGGAGGAAGGUGGGGAUGACGUCAAGUCCUCAUGGCCCUUAUAGGUGGGGCUACACACGUCAUACAAUGGCCGGUACAGAGGGUAGCCAACCCGCGAGGGGGAGCCAAUCCCACAAAGCCGGUCGUAGUCCGGAUCGCAGUCUGCAACUCGACUGCGUGAAGUCGGAAUCGCUAGUAAUCGCGGAUCAGCAUGUCGCGGUGAAUACGUUCCCGGGUCUU
rnacentral:rRNA from 1 species